UACCAUCCGUCAUUCCAUCAAAAGUACGAAGUACGUACUCUUAGUUCAGCUCGUCAUGGACUCAUUGAAAAGUCUAGUGUUGUCUUCGUCACCCGAUGAUUCUGACGAUGAGAUCGAUAACUUGUUGCUUUGUCACAUGUUGACCACCUUGGACUAGGAGACACGAGCACGCGGCGUAGGCGCUCUCCAUUGCCUCGUCGAGUUAUCCAUAGGGACCACGCUGCUGGAGAAAAUCUCAUCAAGCACCACUACUUCGGACCUAAUCCAGUGUAUCCACCACAUGUUUUUCGUCGAAGGUUUCGGAUGCAUCGUCCUUUGUUCCUACAUAUCCUUCGUGCCGUUCAGCGAGAAGACGAUUAUUUCACUAUUCGAUGUGAUGCAACAGGUUUAGCAGGGCUCGGUCCAUUGCAAAAAGUAUGUGCUGCUUUGCGUAUCCUUGCGUACGGGUUACCAACCGAUGCGGUUGAUGAGUACAUACAAAUUGGACAGACUACGGCUAGGGUCUGUCUUAUCCGUUUCUAUCGCGCAAUCAUCUCUUCCUUUAGCGAACGAUACCUUCGUAUCCCUAACCACGACGACAUUGCUCGCAUACUAAGUGUAAACGCUAGGGCUGGACGAAAUACUCGUGGCUCGAUAACUCGCUCGACUCGGCUCGUUAGUAGCUCAGCUCGACUCGGCUCGUUUUAAUUUUGUAGCGAGCCAAGCUAGCAUUCUAGCUCGGUUCUCUAAUGAGCCAGCUCGAGUUAGCUCGUGAGCUAGCUCGCGAGCCAAACGAGCUAAGCCACAACACAAGUUUGUCUAGUCGUUGGUGUCGUCUCAUCUCUCAUAGUCUUGUUUUCUCGUAGUUAUGAUCUGUGAUAUGGAUAUGUGUGGAUGUGUCAUGUGCUUAAAUAUUUGUAUUAUUGCAUGGCUACAUGUUUGUAGUGUUAAACACUUAGAUUUUUCGGUUAUACAUAUAUUUAUGUACAUAGAUCUUUAUAAUUUAUAUUUAGUUGUGUGGCUCGCGAGCCUAACGAGCUGGCUCGAGCUUCCUAACGAGCCGAGCUGAGCCAGCUGUUUAGCUCGUUAGUAUAACGAGCCGACCCGAGCUGGCUUGUUACAGUAACGAGCCAUAACGAGCCGAGCCAUAACGAGCCGAGCUGGCUCGAUAUCCACCCCUAGCCUGAUCGACAUCGAAAUAGGAAAAUGAAAAGCUGAUAGCGAGCCAUGCAUAUGGCAUGUAUCCACUCGUACAGGCAUGCACGCGCCUCUGCAUGCUGGAGGGAUUAUUGGCAACGACUGACUUUGGUCCAAGUCAAUCUCUCUGACUACCUCUCUUCACUCUCUAGUCUAGCAGUACUAUGGUACUUGUUACAAAAUAUUACAUAUGUGAUCAAUACAAGGGGUGUGACAGUUUUGCCCAAGUGACACACCUCUUGGGAUACACCCCUUCACUUGUAUAUAAGUAUAAUGAUCUGUGGAAUACAAACAACAGUUCUGCUAUUUGUCUCUCUCAAUCUCGUUACCACUGAGUAUACUUCAACACGUUAUCAGCACGUAGACUCGAUGAGUGGUUUCCCACCAGCCAUCGGAGCGAUGAGGAUGAACUUCAGCGGCGUCAUCAUCUUUCUCUCCCAGCAAGUGGCAUUGAGUACGAAAGCUUGCAUGCGCUGGUCCCCUCGGCCGAUGGAAUUUUGGUUUCAACCAUGCGUUGCAGCGAUGGAACUGAAAAAUAACCGUAAGCAUUAAUCUCAAAUUGCGCUUACCUUUUUCAAUUUAUUCCAUGGCAAAUUCGCCAGCACACACUGGGGCCGUGUGCCUACCCGCACAGAGGCCGCACCAUGUCCGCGACGCCGAGGCUACGCUCACGCCAGGCCGGACCCGCUCCUGUGCGGCGUGGCUACGCCAGGGUCGCUUGGCCGCACCGCCGCUGGGCUGUGCGCAGGGGCCAUCUGCCCACGCUGCAGCCGGGUUCGUGUGCCAAGGUCAGGGCUGCCUGACAGCGCGCCUGCGCAGGGGAUUCCAUCGCCCGGGCCAGGGGCCUCGCCCGCGCCGCCGCGAACCGCCGCCGAGGGGCCGCGCGCUUGCGCAGAGCAGCCGCGCCCGCCCUCGUGCGCCGGUCUGUGCCAAGCCACCGAGGGGCCGGGGGGCCGCGCGCCUGAACAGAGCACCCGCGCCCGCGUCGACGGGGCUGGGAGCCGCCGCGCCAAAACGACGGGGCCGGGGCCAGCGCAGCCGCGCCCGCGCGCCGAGGCUUGGGACGGGCCGCCGCCGCCGUGCGGGGCCACGUCCGGAACGCCGGUGUCCCACAGGCCGCACCCGCGCGUGCGCCGGGGCUGCGCGCCGCUAGGGCCUGCGCGCCCAGGCAACCGUUGCCCGCGCCGCCGUGGCCGCCCCGCCGUGCCGUGGCCGCGCCCGCCUGGUGGCGGUUGGUCGCCGCCGAGGCUGGGGCCGGGGCUAGGGCCGCAUGCCCGCGCCACCGGAGGACCGCCUGCACUGGACCGCGCCAGUGCCGGUGCCGCCAUGGCUAGGCCACCGCACCCGCGCCAGGGUCGCGCCUGCGCCCGCGUCGAGCAGCCGGGCUCGCGCCCGCGCUCGUAUGCCGGACAACCGGGUUCGCGCACCGCCGCCAGAGGCUCACCCGCGCGCACCGAGGGGCUGCGCCGUGCCCGCCCACUCCGGAGGAUCCCAGAUCGGAGCCGCCAUGGCCGGCCAUCACCAUGGCGGCGGCUACAGGGAGAAAAAUGGACCGGUUAGGGUUCCCAACCCUAACCGUCCUUAUAACUGGGCCGCCGCUAAUGGGCCACCUCGACAGGCCGGCUCCUGGGGCAUGUUUGGGCUGACUGCCUAGGCUGUGCUUAAUUUUUUUUAUUUUACGCAGUUUCAGUUAGAAGAACUAUGUGUUCGUACAUGUUACUGACUUUAUCAUUAUUUGUACAUCUAAAUUUGAAUAUUUAGAAUGCUGAUGAUAUAUGUAAUUUUACAAACUUGUGUCUGUUUUAUUAUAAAAAUACAGACUUGAUAA